UACGAAGGGGGCUAGCGUUGUUCGGAUUUACUGGGCGUAAAGCGCACGUAGGCGGAUUGUUAAGUCAGAGGUGAAAUCCUGGAGCUCAACUCCAGAACUGCCUUUGAUACUGAGAAUCUUGAGUUCGGGAGAGGUGAGUGGAACUGCGAGUGUAGAGGUGAAAUUCGUAGAUAUUCGCAAGAACACCAGUGGCGAAGGCGGCUCACUGGCCCGGUACUGACACUGAGGUGCGAAAGCGUGGGGAGCAAACAGG
rnacentral:rRNA from 1 species